rnacentral:rRNA from 1 species
AGGUAAGCUACUAAGAGCGAAUGGUGGAUGCCUUGACUGGUAAAGGCGAUGAAGGACGUACUAGACUGCGAUAAGCUACGGGGAGCUGUCAAGAAGCUUUGAUCCGUAGAUUUCCGAAUGGGGCAACCCAAUGUAUAGAGAUAUACAUUACCUAUAUAGGAGCGAACGAGGGGAAUUGAAACAUCUUAGUACUCUCAGGAAAAGAAAUCAAUAGAGAUUGCGUCAGUAGCGGCGAGCGAAAGCGCAAGAGGGCAAACCCAGUGCUUGCACUGGGGGUUGUAGGACUGCAAUGUGCAAGAGGUAAGUUUAGCAGAACAUUCUGGAAAGUAUAACCAUAGAGGGUGAUAGUCCCGUAUGCGAAAAACAAACCUUAGCUAGCAGUAUCCUGAGUAGGGCGGGACACGAGGAAUCCUGUCUGAAUCCGGGUCGACCACGAUCCAACCCUAAAUACUAAUACCAGAUCGAUAGUGCACAAGUACCGUGAGGGAAAGGUGAAAAGAACUGAGGUGAUCAGAGUGAAAUAGAACCUGAAACCAUUUGCUUACAAUCAUUCAGAGCCCUAUGUAGCAAUACAGGGUGAUGGACUGCCUUUUGCAUAAUGAGCCUGCGAGUUGUGGUGUCUGGCAAGGUUAAGCAAACGCGAAGCCGUAGCGAAAGCGAGUCUGAAUAGGGCGCUUAGUCAGAUGCUGCAGACCCGAAACGAAGUGAUCUAUCCAUGAGCAAGUUGAAGCUAGUGUAAGAACUAGUGGAGGACUGAACCCAUAGGCGUUGAAAAGCCCCGGGAUGACUUGUGGAUAGGGGUGAAAGGCCAAUCAAACUUCGUGAUAGCUGGUUCUCUCCGAAAUAUAUUUAGGUAUAGCGUUGUGUCGUAAUAUAAGGGGGUAGAGCACUGAAUGGGCUAGGGCAUACACCAAUGUACCAAACCCUAUCAAACUCCGAAUACCUUAUAUGUAAUCACAGCAGUCAGGCGGCGAGUGAUAAAAUCCGUCGUCAAGAGGGAAACAACCCAGACUACCAGCUAAGGUCCCUAAAUCUUACUUAAGUGGAAAACGAUGUGAAGUUACUUAAACAACCAGGAGGUUGGCUUAGAAGCAGCCAUCCUUUAAAGAAAGCGUAAUAGCUCACUGGUCUAGUGAUUUUGCGCGGAAAAUAUAACGGGGCUAAAGUAAGUACCGAAGCUGUAGACUUAGUUUACUAAGUGGUAGGAGAGCGUUCUAUUUGCGUCGAAGGUAUACCGGUAAGGAGUGCUGGAGCGAAUAGAAGUGAGCAUGCAGGCAUGAGUAGCGAUAAUUAAUGUGAGAAUCAUUAACGCCGUAAACCCAAGGUUUCCUACGCGAUGCUCGUCAUCGUAGGGUUAGUCGGGUCCUAAGUCGAGUCCGAAAGGGGUAGACGAUGGCAAAUUGGUUAAUAUUCCAAUACCAACAUUAGUGUGCGAUGGAAGGACGCUUAGGGCUAAGGGGGCUAGCGGAUGGAAGUGCUAGUCUAAGGUCGUAGGAGGUUAUACAGGCAAAUCCGUAUAACAAUACUCCGAGAACUGAAAGGCUUUUUGAAGUCUUCGGAUGGAUAGAAGAACCCCUGAUGCCGUCGAGCCAAGAAAAGUUUCUAAGUUUAGCUAAUGUUGCCCGUACCGUAAACCGACACAGGUGGGUGGGAUGAGUAUUCUAAGGCGCGUGGAAGAACUCUCUUUAAGGAACUCUGCAAAAUAGCACCGUAUCUUCGGUAUAAGGUGUGGUUAGCUUUGUAUUAGGAUUUACUCCGAAAGCAAGGAAACUUACAACAAAGAGUCCCUCCCGACUGUUUACCAAAAACACAGCACUCUGCUAACUCGUAAGAGGAUGUAUAGGGUGUGACGCCUGCCCGGUGCUCGAAGGUUAAUUGAUGGGGUUAGCAUUAGCGAAGCUCUUGAUCGAAGCCCGAGUAAACGGCGGCCGUAACUAUAACGGUCCUAAGGUAGCGAAAUUCCUUGUCGGUUAAAUACCGACCUGCAUGAAUGGCGUAACGAGAUGGGAGCUGUCUCAAAGAGGGAUCCAGUGAAAUUGUAGUGGAGGUGAAAAUUCCUCCUACCCGCGGCAAGACGGAAAGACCCCGUGGACCUUUACUACAGCUUGACACUGCUACUUGGAUAAGAAUGUGCAGGAUAGGUGGGAGGCUUUGAGUAUAUGACGCCAGUUGUAUAUGAGCCAUUGUUGAGAUACCACUCUUUCUUAUUUGGGUAGCUAACCAGCUUGAGUUAUCCUCAAGUGGGACAAUGUCUGGUGGGUAGUUUGACUGGGGCGGUCGCCUCCCAAAUAAUAACGGAGGCUUACAAAGGUUGGCUCAGAACGGUUGGAAAUCGUUCGUAGAGUAUAAAGGUAUAAGCCAGCUUAACUGCAAGACAUACAAGUCAAGCAGAGACGAAAGUCGGUCUUAGUGAUCCGGUGGUUCUGUGUGGAAGGGCCAUCGCUCAAAGGAUAAAAGGUACCCCGGGGAUAACAGGCUGAUCUCCCCAAGAGCUCACAUCGACGGGGAGGUUUGGCACCUCGAUGUCGGCUCAUCGCAUCCUGGGGCUGGAGCAGGUCCCAAGGGUAUGGCUGUUCGCCAUUUAAAGCGGUACGCGAGCUGGGUUCAGAACGUCGUGAGACAGUUCGGUCCCUAUCUGCCGUGGGCGUAAGAAGAUUGAAGAGAUUUGACCCUAGUACGAGAGGACCGGGUUGAACAAACCACUGGUGUAGCUGUUGUUCUGCCAAGAGCAUCGCAGCGUAGCUAAGUUUGGAAAGGAUAAACGCUGAAAGCAUCUAAGCGUGAAGCCAACUCUAAGAUGAAUCUUCUCUAAGCUCUCUAGAAGACUACUAGUUUGAUAGGCUGGGUGUGUAAUGGAUGAAAGUCCUUUAGCUGACCAGUACUAAUAGAGCGUUUGGCUUAUCUUU